AAAACACUGCGAGGAAUUAAAUGUAUACCGUCGUACAGCGGACGAACAAGAAUAAUAAAUACGACACAUUAUCUCGAGCGCCACGGGCAGAUACGUGUCCGUAUGCCCAUCGUGCACGAGACGUUGUAAUCGGAUCAGACGAACGUCGCAUUUAGGCGUUAUAAUGUCGAAACUAGGAUUUCGUUGAAACUACUUAAAGCAAUUAUACUGCGAAACAAGUGCGUUCACGUCCUACUGUUACCAACAAUACCGUACACCGGCCCGUCGUUAUCCGCGUACACGCACGUCACACGGGUUUCGCGUACAUGCAAAUACAUUUCGUUUGACACGCUACCGCUGGAGUGUACGCAAUGUUAUCAACUCGAGUGUUGGAGAGUUGGAUUCGUAUGGAAGUAUGAUAAACAGAGAUGUUGAAUUUUUUAUUAAAAAAAAAUAAAACGACAAAGUAUACGGUUUUUUCUUGUUUAGAACUACUUUUUUUUUUUCAUAAAUAAUUUUAAUGUUUUAUACUUUCAACGUUUUGAACAGAAUGAAAAAAAACAUACGAUUCAAACUAUUCGAGGCGUACACUAUGCAUUAUAAGUGUAAUGCGUACAAUGCAAAUAAAUUAAAACGUAAAUAGAUAGCGAACAAUAUGGUUCAAUUCUUUACUCAAACAAUUAAAACAGAUGUGUUCGUCUACUGGUCGAAUAUAAUUGUUAAUACUUAUUUACAUAAUUGAAAUGUAUUAUUAUGGUUUGUAAUUUUUAAAUAUC